GUUAUGGGUCGUUCAGUGGAGCAAAGGUACAAACAGGGCUAGGCACACACGCAGUCAUAGUCAAGCAGGGUUCAGUGGCAUGAGCAAACACAGACAUCAGGGAUGAGGCAAAAGGCACGGUCAAAAAUACAGAGCAGGAUCAAAAAACA